GAGUAGCGCAAGACACCAAAGGGCCUGCAGACUGAGCUUCACCCGCAUGGAGAGGCGGUCCAGCAGCCCAUGACACCAAAGGAUAAGUAGCCCUGUGUAGCUUGCCCGGCCUCACAGCACACAACGGCAAACACUACACCACGAUGGCUCUCAGUGCAACCAGCACAAGCUUGGUGGUACUGUGCCUCGUCUCUCUCCUCCUCGUCGCUUCGUUUGCUGAUGAUACCUCCGCCGGAGCCCAUGCAGAUGCUGGGAGGAGUAUGCAAUCAGGAGCGGUCGUGGAUGCGAGGUCCGGCCAGCACCAGCAUACGGUCCACCGACUUACGGCGCAUAUGGUCGGAUUGGUCGGAUUGGAUUAGGAUAUCAACAUGGUCUAAAAAAAUGCCUCGCUGCAGCUUUACAUCACCGCUCCACCCAACAACUCAAUUGCGUAUAUCAACAGUCGACAAGCACAACACCGCCGCCUACCGGUUAUCUUGCCGCAUCGCCAUUUUGUAGGAGACAAAGUCAUUAUGCUGUCAUGACCCCAUCACUCUUGAGUCAUCAUCACCAAUUGACAACGAUAUUUCAAAAUCCAGUUAAGACACUCACAUGCAGUGUUAGCCGCUGCAGUUUGCUGCAAGCAAUGAAGCCACCAGCCAUCAGAACCGUUUCUGCCGCCUUAUGAUGUUAUCUCACA